rnacentral:rRNA from 1 species
UACGGAGGGUGCAAGCGUUAUCCGGAUUCACUGGGUUUAAAGGGUGCGUAGGGGGGAAUGUAAGUCAGUGGUGAAAUCUCCGGGCUUAACCCGGAAACUGCCAUUGAUACUAUCGGUCUUGAAUACCGUGGAGGUGAGCGGAAUAUGUCAUGUAGCGGUGAAAUGCUUAGAUAUGACAUAGAACACCAAUUGCGAAGGCAGCUCACUACACGAAUAUUGACACUGAGGCACGAAAGCGUGGGGAGCAAACAGG